AUUGGGACUGAGAUACGGCCCAGACUCCUACGGGAGGCAGCAGUGGGGAAUAUUGCACAAUGGGCGCAAGCCUGAUGCAGCGACGCCGCGUGCGGGAUGACGGCCUUCGGGUUGUAAACCGCUUUUGACUGGGAGCAAGCCCUUCGGGGUGAGUGUACCUUUCGAAUAAGCACCGGCUAACUACGUGCCAGCAGCCGCGGUAAUACGUAGGGUGCAAGCGUUAUCCGGAAUUAUUGGGCGUAAAGGGCUCGUAGGCGGUUCGUCGCGUCCGGUGUGAAAGUCCAUCGCUUAACGGUGGAUCCGCGCCGGGUACGGGCGGGCUUGAGUGCGGUAGGGGAGACUGGAAUUCCCGGUGUAACGGUGGAAUGUGUAGAUAUCGGGAAGAACACCAAUGGCGAAGGCAGGUCUCUGGGCCGUCACUGACGCUGAGGAGCGAAAGCGUGGGGAGCGAACAGGAUUAGAUACCCUGGUAGUCCACGCCGUAAACGGUGGAUGCUGGAUGUGGGGACCAUUCCACGGUCUCCGUGUCGGAGCCAACGCGUUAAGCAUCCCGCCUGGGGAGUACGGCCGCAAGGCUAAAACUCAAAGAAAUUGACGGGGGCCCGCACAAGCGGCGGAGCAUGCGGAUUAAUUCGAUGCAACGCGAAGAACCUUACCUGGGCUUGACAUGUUCCCGACAGCCGUAGAGAUACGGUCUCCCUUCGGGGCGGGUUCACAGGUGGUGCAUGGUCGUCGUCAGCUCGUGUCGUGAGAUGUUGGGUUAAGUCCCGCAACGAGCGCAACCCUCGCCCUGUGUUGCCAGCACGUCGUGGUGGGAACUCACGGGGGACCGCCGGGGUCAACUCGGAGGAAGGUGGGGAUGACGUCAGAUCAUCAUGCCCCUUACGUCCAGGGCUUCACGCAUGCUACAAUGGCCGGUACAACGGGAUGCGACACUGUGAGGUGGAGCGGAUCCCUUAAAACCGGUCUCAGUUCGGAUUGGAGUCUGCAACCCGACUCCAUGAAGGCGGAGUCGCUAGUAAUCGCGGAUCAGCAACGCCGCGGUGAAUGCGUUCCCGGGCCUUGUACACACCGCCCGUCAAGUCAUGAAAGUGGGUAGCACCCGAAGCCGGUGGCCCAACCUUUUUGGGGGGAGCCGUCUAAGGUGAGACUCGUGAUUGGGACUAAGUCGUAACAAGGUAGCCGUACCGGAAGGUGCGGCUG
rnacentral:rRNA from 1 species